GGGUAUAGCUCAGUGGUAGAGUGUGUGCUUAGCAUGUAUGUUGUCCUGGGUUCAACCCCCAGUACCUCCA
rnacentral:tRNA from 1 species